rnacentral:sRNA from 1 species
UCACACACACAUACACACACACACACACACCCCUUAUCUUCUAGUGGGAAAGGCAGUGAGUGAGUGGUGAGAAGAGAGCAGGAUGUUGCCCUGGGUGUUGUGUACUGGGUGCCCAAGCGGAGCCUCAUGGGUACAGUGAUGUGUGAUCUACAAGCAGAGGCUGGAAGGAACAAGGGACAUCCAGGGAAAGCCCCUUUUGUUGUUCAGAGACACAACAAAACUUUGUCUAUUUUACACACACACACACACACAUACACAAACACACAUGCAUAUGUAUAUAUAAUAUUACAUAUAUAUAUUCUUAGGAAAAUAAGGAAGUGCUUUGAUUGGAAUGGGGAGGAAUUGAAGGUUUGGAAGAAUUGCAGACAGAAUGCAGGAAGCCUCUAAAAGGGCCUUAGGUUUUACUGUGAAUUAGGUAGAGAACCACUGGAUGGUUUUGAGGAGGAGAAGGACACGAUAUAAUUAACCUAACACCACUUCAGGUCUCUCGGAGAAAGCGAACCAACAAAGUCAUUUGGAGAAGGAAGGAAAGUUUCUUCUAUUUGAGCAGGAGGGCGCUUGCCUAGAUCUGGGCAAGGCCUGCUCUGUUGAAGCCCCUUCUGUUCAGCCGUUGUGCAUGGGUCUUUCGUCGUCGCCUCAGUUCUAAGCUGUAGCACCCUGACACCCAGCCCAGGUCCCCUACCCUCACAUCUUUUCUCAGUCUGCCUGUCAGAUCAGCAGUUUUCAAAUACAGCGGUAGCAUUCAGCCAGUAACGCAGGCCUUUCCUAUGCUCUUCCAGAGCUAAGACUCUUAAGGAAAACGAAGGACUCGAACCAGGUGAGCUCAAAGUCAGUCCCCACAACUUACAGUUAGUACUGUGCACGUUGUCUUCACUUACCCAUAGAUUAGGACGACAGAUUAUUUCGAUUAAAAAAUCUGUGGAAAGAGUGACCUUCUGUGGAAGGGCGUGAUAAAAGGUGAUUGGGAACAGGCAACACGGGCGUGUUUACUCUUCAUUUCAACCCUCAUUUCCUGUGUCUGGACCUCCUCCCUGGCGAUUGAUUUAGCCCCAUAUGGUAAGCAAUAGAGAGACAGCUUAAGUGGGAUUAAGCGAUUCUCCUAAAUGCUUCUGUAUCUCCUUCCCAGUGGAUGCCUGUAAGCAGCUGGCACUUUGGAAGAAAUACACCCAUGGCAGUUAGUGGUGACCAGGACGUAAUUUGAUUGUGGUUUCACUCGUAAGCGGAUACUCCCCUUUCUCAGGGAUAUUGAAGUUACCAGGAUCCUGUUGGUACUGCGAUUUGAGGAACAGGGGGGAGAAGAAAGAAUUGUGGAUAAUUUUCAUCACCCCACCCCAUGCCAUCAUGCCAUCACCAUAACCACAUGACCCUGGGUAUUCCUCUAAGUCUGUUUUCCUUGCUCUCAACUCCCAACCAACCAGCAGGCGGUUCUGCCCUCUUGUAUUGAGCGGUUGGUCCUGCCUCAGCACUGGGGCCUCCAGCAGUGAUGGGAUGGCUGAAAUCCAGCCAGCUUGCAUGAGCUCCCGUCAGAAGGCUUGAUGUUAGAAUGUAUGCUCCAGUGAGCUGCUGCUUUCCUUAGAAGGCAUAGAAAAGGAAGACCUGAAGUUAAGUUCAGUGAAAAAGCCCACCAGAUCCAGGCAGAGUCUGCCUGAUCAGGAGCGCAAGGAGUAGAGAUUGUGUAUGUGCCCAUGAUAUGCAAAUGACAUGUACAUUCCACAUACAUGCUAAAGGAAUGGUCCUUUCAUGUAAGGAAGCUCAUCCGUGAUUAUGAUGUCACACCAGUGACACCACUUAGAUAAUAGCUGCAGACAUAUGAUUGUGCCAGUCCUCUGCCUCAUUUCAGGAAUCAAGACAAGCCCAGCUCGUGGUGAGAAGUCAGACGCAGGGUUCCCAGGCAAUACUUCUUCAGCUGGUUGAGCCGGUCACCUCAGUUCACGCUUGUUGAGCACCGUCUAGGCAGGAGCCCUAGUCUGGUGCUAGAUCUAUUUAGCAGAUAAAAUGGAAUCCCCAGCCAGAGCAAAGUGGCUCAGGAAGUCAGUGACCAGGCACCUGGAUGACUGGCCAGCCUGUCUGCAGACAGCUCAUCGGAGAGCCAUUCUGAACCUUCCAAUUGGGGAACAGCCCUGGGCUGCGUGCUAAGUGAAAGAGGGCCUGCGAGGAGGAAUUCAAAUGAAAUACCUUUGAAUG